rnacentral:ribozyme from 1 species
GCGAGAAAUGAGCAAAAGAACAAAGACAAAGCCGUGUAAAAAGAGAACGAACAGAAGUGAACAGAAAUGAAACAAACUUCCUUCGUUCAUCCUUUUCAUUUCUUUUUCUUUUCUCUUUUGCUUUUCUUUCAA